AUACGUCUUCGGGGCGGGGUGAAAUUCCCCACCGGCGGUAUGGCCCGCAAGGGCCGAGCCCGCGAGCGCCUGCGUGAGCAGGGUCAGCAGACCUGGUGAGAGGCCAGGGCCGACGGUAUAGUCCGGAUGAAAGAAGAUGUGC
rnacentral:ncRNA from 2 species